AUUUAUAAAGUUUUUAAAACAUUUCAUUUUCAUUGAAAAAAGAAGUAUUGUACUUUAUAAAUA
rnacentral:tRNA from 1 species